UGCGUAGGCGGGCUAAUAAGUCAGUGGUGAAAUCUUCCGGCUCAACCGGGAACCUGCCAUUGAUACUGUUAGUCUUGAGUACGGCUGAGGUAGGCGGAAUGUGUAAUGUAGCGGUGAAAUGCUUAGAUAUUACACAGAACACCAAUUGCGUAGGCAGCUUACUAGACCGUAACUGACGCUGAGGCACGAAGGCGUGGGUAGCGAACAGGAUUAGAUACCCUGGUAGUCC
rnacentral:rRNA from 1 species